CACAUCAGGAGCCGGAGCUUUAGUGGCAGCGCAGAGGAGCAGGAACACUCCUGAUACACAGGGUGUGCGUGAGAGACAGAGAGAGAGCAGGAGUGAAAGUCCAACGGAGGAAGAAAGACAGAAAGACAGAAUGGCGAUCCCUCUCCACCCUUUCUCCUCGACCACGAGUGGAGGGGGCGAGCACAGCCAUGGAGGAAGAAGAUGGAGGACGAUGGGGACAGGUAGACAGACAGACAGCCCAGCGGCAUUCUGGGAUGGAGAGAGAGAGAGAGAGAGAGAGAGAGAGAAAACACACAUACACACACAUACAAGAGGACAGGAGAGCAACGUCAUGGUCCCGAUUCUGACACUCUCACCCUGCCCAAGUCCAUGCUCCCCUCAUAUCAGCAGAAGAUGAUCAGCGUCUCUUGAAGAGUGUAAGUUGUGAGACGGGGAUACGGAUGGGGGUCGUGCCUGCCAUGUGGGGGUUUGCUGUGGUGAAUUCUGGGAUGGUGUAUGUGUGUGCAGUGUCAGAAUGAGACCCCCUUCCCUUCUCCCACCCACUCUCUUUUUUUGUGUGCACAGAACUGAAACAUCUCUCGUCACUAGUAGACUGAAGCAUCUGUACUCACUGAUUGACUGGGUUUGUAGGGUGGCAGACUGGAUUUGUUUCAUUUCCCGUUUCUGUGCGUGGCAGUGUGCAAAUGUCUUUGGCUCUUCUCAUCGCAGUUAGUUCUGUGACACAUCAGGGGUUUAUGUCCUAAUUUUAGAACACCCAUUUGUUACGAUUCAUUAUUAAAACAUUGUUAUUGUGCCUAUUAUUGACACUACAAGAAGCACCCAUACUUUGUAUGUACCGUAUAUGCUCGUAGGUACAAAGUAGGGUUCCGAGAUGUAUAACGUAGUGGAGGUAGAGGUACUUUUACAGGUGUAAUAACAACACUAGCAAUAUAUUUCAAGCAUGUAAUAUCAUAUUACUAGUGUUGUAAUAACAGUCGUAACGUUACUUCUACUUCUAGUAUAGAAAAUGGAUACCUGCAUAAAAAGUCUACACACCCCUAUUCAAAUGUCAGGUAUUUGUGAUAUUUAAAAAAAUGACAGAAAGUAACUUCUCAACUUUUUCCACAUUUAAUAUAAAUUCUAACCUGUACAGCGCCAUUGAAAACAAACACAAAGCUUUAAAGGGGGGGAAAAAAACAAAAAAAACCAUGGUUGAACAUUAAAAGUUAACAUGGUUGCAUAAAUUAACAGGGUUGCAUAAAUACAUGCACACUCGUAAACUAAUACUUUGUUGCAGCACCUUUGGCUUUUAUUACAGAACUGGGUCAGAGUUUAUCAGCAUGGCACAUCUUGAUGCGGCAAUAUUUGUCCACUUCUCUUUGUAAAAGCACUCCAUAUCUGACAGAUUCUGAACUCUGCUUGGGCCAUUCCAAAAAUCUCAAUUUCAUUCUGGUGAGGCCCAUUCUUUUGUUGAUUUAGGCAUGUGUGUAUGUACGGUAAUUGUCGUUCUGAAAGUUUAUAUGAAUGUGGAAAAAUGUGUGCAAUUAUUCGUCUUUCUGUAAUUUUUCUGACAUCAUAAAAACUUGACAUUUGAACAGCGAUGGGUAGACAUGUAUAGGCACUGUACAUCUCGGGUAGGGUUCCAUUUGAUGACACUGUAGCCUACAUAUGGCAAAGAUGACGUCUCCAUUACUGUAGGGCGCAGUAGACAUAAGUGUGGUGACAUCACUCACAGAGCUCUAACCUGAUUGGGCUGUGUUAACAUGCCUAGUGUUGGCCUUAUUAAUUUUGCAUGCCCUAGAUCUGACAUUUAAAUGGAGCGUAAAGUAAAGAAAUAUGCUUGUGAACUCGAA